UAUCCAUCGCUAGUUAUUACAUGAUGAAGUUCGAAUGGAUAGCCAUUCUCGUUCACGACAUUUCUCUGUUUCCUUAGCCUUGACCGUGCUUCUUCGAUCUUGGAUAUAAUUAAAUCUAUUAACAAAUCACUGGAACAGAGCUUUAACUUUACAAGCUACUCAAUCAAGAUGUAGAAGAGAAAGUAGAAACGUAGAGACUAACGAGAGCCGAUCGCUGGGAAGAAUAACAGCAAUAUAUCAAGGUUCCGCUUACCAGCACUUCGUUAGGAUCGUUCAACGGUGGCAGUAACCCACGUGUCCGAAACAAAC